rnacentral:rRNA from 1 species
GUGGGGAAUCUUGCGCAAUGGGCGAAAGCCUGACGCAGCCAUGCCGCGUGAAUGAUGAAGGUCUUAGGAUUGUAAAAUUCUUUCACCGGGGACGAUAAUGACGGUACCCGGAGAAGAAGCUCCGGCUAACUUCGUGCCAGCAGCCGCGGUAAUACGAAGGGGGCUAGCGUUGCUCGGAAUUACUGGGCGUAAAGGGCGCGUAGGUGGACAGCUUAGUCAGAGGUGAAAGCCCAGGGCUCAACCUUGGAAUUGCCUUUGAUACUGGCUGUCUUGAGUUUGGGAGAGGUGAGUGGAACUCCGAGUGUAGAGGUGAAAUUCGUAGAUAUUCGGAAGAACACCAGGGGCGAAGGCGACUCACUGGCCCAAUACUGACGCUGAGGCGCGAAAGCGUGGGGAGCAAACAAGAUUAGAUACCCCAGUAGUCC